rnacentral:lncRNA from 1 species
CGAUGUUUAACCAUGAACCAUAGUGUUGAUGGUGUCUACUGAUCAUGAAGAAAUCUAGUGGCUAAAUCUGAUUAGGGGUUGGAAUCAUUGGUGAGGGGAUCAAAGGGAGGCUGAGGAGGCUUAAAUAAAGUGGGAAAUGCACUGAGAAUCCAUCUCGGCAAUGGAUUCUCUCCAGCAAACUUGGGGAGGAGAUUUCUAUCGAGAAUCUCUUUCUUUCACACACGCACCAAGCACACCCACCCCCUCUCUUUUUUGUUUUUUGGGGCUUUUUUUCAAAUAUUUGG